rnacentral:rRNA from 1 species
GGGGAGCAAAUAGGAUUAGAUACCCUAGUAGUCCACGCCGUAAACGAUGAGAACUAGGUGUUGGGGGAAUAACUCAGUGCCGCAGUUAACGCAGUAAGUUCUCCGCCUGGGGAGUAUGCACGCAAGUGUGAAACUCAAAGGAAUUGACGGGGGCCCGCACAAGCGGUGGAGUAUGUGGUUUAAUUCGAAGCAACGCGAAGAACCUUACCAGGCCUUGACAUCCCUUGCAGAGGUAUAGAGAUAUAUCCGAGGUUAUCAAGGAGACAGGUGGUGCAUGGUUGUCGUCAGCUCGUGUCGUGAGAUGUUGGGUUAAGUCCCGCAACGAGCGCAACCCUUAUGGUCAGUUACUACGCAAGAGGACUCUGGCCAGACUGCCGUUGACAAAACGGAGGAAGGUGGGGAUGACGUCAAAUCAUCAUGCCCUUUAUGACUUGGGCUACACACGUACUACAAUGGCGUUAAACAAAGAGAAGCAAGACCGCGAGGUGGAGCAAAACUCAAAAACAACGUCUCAGUUCAGAUUGCAGGCUGCAACUCGCCUGCAUGAAGUCGGAAUUGCUAGUAAUCGCGGAUCAGCAUGCCGCGGUGAAUACGUUCCCGGGCCUUGUACACACCGCCCGUCACACCAUGAGAGCCGGGGGGACCCGAA